CUCGCGAGAGCAAGCGGACCUCAUAAAGUACGUCGUAGUCCGGAUUGGAGUCUGCAACUCGACUCCAUGAAGUCGGAAUCGCUAGUAAUCGUAGAUCAGAAUGCUACGGUGAAUACGUUCCCGGGCCUUGUACACACCGCCCGUCACACCAUGGGAGUGGGUUGCAAAAGAAGUAGGUAGCUUAACCUUCGGGAGGGCGCUUACCACUUUGUGAUUCAUGACUGGGGUGAAGUCGUAACAAGGUAACCGUAGGGGAACCUGCGGUUGGAUCACCUCCUUA
rnacentral:ncRNA from 1 species